UACGUAGGUGGCAAGCGUUGUCCGGAAUCAUUGGGCGUAAAGCGCGUGUAGGCGGCUGGCUAAGUCCGCUCUGAAAGCCCGGGGCUCAACCCCGGGAGGCGGGUGGAUACUGGUCAGCUCGAGUCCGGAAGAGGAGUGUGGAAUUCCUGGUGUAGAGGUGAAAUUCGUAGAUAUUAGGAAGAACACCAGUGGCGAAGGCGGCUCACUGGCCCGGUACUGACGCUGAGGCGCGAAAGCGUGGGGAGCAAACAGG
rnacentral:rRNA from 1 species